CGUUCUCUAAGUCUGAAAUUCCAAAGAAAAAAUGCUUUCAAUAGUCAUAGGGGCAGCUGCAAUUUAUGGAAUUUAUAAACUUUUAACAUGAUCUCCAUAUUUGAUCGAGCUGUGUGAUUUAAGAAACAACUAUUGUCCAGCACAUAGACCUUUAGAGCGAUCGAGGUAAACCAUGUCCAAUGAUGAAUUCGACAAGCCUCAGUAUCACACAUAACAUAGAAGAUUUAUUCAUACUUGGCCCAGGAUCAUACUAUGAACAUUGAAAUUCAAGGCAAAAUCUAUUUCUAAUACAUUAUAUUAACUUGUAACAAAAAUGAACAAUUACAGAUCUAAAAAGUAAAUAACAAA